CUUGCGGCGUGCUUAACACAUGCAAGUCGAACGGAAAGGCCCUGCUUUUGUGGGGUGCUCGAGUGGCGAACGGGUGAGUAACACGUGAGUAACCUGCCCUUGACUUUGGGAUAACUUCAGGAAACUGGGGCUAAUACCGGAUAGGAGCUCCUGCUGCAUGGUGGGGGUUGGAAAGUUCCGGCGGUUGGGGAUGGACUCGCGGCUUAUCAGCUUGUUGGUGGGGUAGUGGCUUACCAAGGCUUUGACGGGUAGCCGGCCUGAGAGGGUGACCGGCCACAUUGGGACUGAGAUACGGCCCAGACUCCUACGGGAGGCAGCAGUGGGGAAUAUUGCACAAUGGGCGGAAGCCUGAUGCAGCAACGCCGCGUGCGGGAUGACGGCCUUCGGGUUGUAAACCGCUUUCGCCUGUGACGAAGCGUGAGUGACGGUAAUGGGUAAAGAAGCACCGGCUAACUACGUGCCAGCAGCCGCGGUGAUACGUAGGGUGCGAGCGUUGUCCGGAUUUAUUGGGCGUAAAGGGCUCGUAGGUGGUUGAUCGCGUCGGAAGUGUAAUCUUGGGGCUUAACCCUGAGCGUGCUUUCGAUACGGGUUGACUUGAGGAAGGUAGGGGAGAAUGGAAUUCCUGGUGGAGCGGUGGAAUGCGCAGAUAUCAGGAGGAACACCAGUGGCGAAGGCGGUUCUCUGGGCCUUUCCUGACGCUGAGGAGCGAAAGCGUGGGGAGCGAACAGGCUUAGAUACCCUGGUAGUCCACGCUGUAAACGGUGGGUACUAGGUGUGGGGUCCAUUCCACGGGUUCCGUGCCGUAGCUAACGCUUUAAGUACCCCGCCUGGGGAGUACGGCCGCAAGGCUAAAACUCAAAGGAAUUGACGGGGCCCCGCACAAGCGGCGGAGCAUGCGGAUUAAUUCGAUGCAACGCGUAGAACCUUACCUGGGUUUGACAUGGAUCGGGAGUGCUCAGAGAUGGGUGUGCCUCUUUUGGGGUCGGUUCACAGGUGGUGCAUGGCUGUCGUCAGCUCGUGUCGUGAGAUGUUGGGUUAAGUCCCGCAACGAGCGCAACCCUUGUUCACUGUUGCCAGCACGUUAUGGUGGGGACUCAGUGGAGACCGCCGGGGUCAACUCGGAGGAAGGUGGGGAUGACGUCAAGUCAUCAUGCCCCUUAUGUCCAGGGCUUCACGCAUGCUACAAUGGCUGGUACAGAGAGUGGCGAGCCUGUGAGGGUGAGCGAAUCUCGGAAAGCCGGUCUCAGUUCGGAUUGGGGUCUGCAACUCGACCUCAUGAAGUCGGAGUCGCUAGUAAUCGCAGAUCAGCAACGCUGCGGUGAAUACGUUCCCGGGGCUUGUACACACCGCCCGUCAAGUCAUGAAAGUUGGUAACACCCGAAGCCGGUGGCCUAACCGUUGUGGGGGAGCCGUCGAAGGUGGGACUGGUGAUU
rnacentral:rRNA from 1 species